ACGCGGACCCAGAAGUUACUUUGCCCAUCAUGGUGAACGUCCUGGAAAAGGCGGAUCCUGCCAUGGUGCUUCCCGUUCUCAGCGAGAUGGCAGAGAAGGGUGAAAAGGCUAUUCCUCGCCUGCGCAAGGCGCUGCA
rnacentral:ribozyme from 18 species